rnacentral:lncRNA from 1 species
CAUACCAUGAAGAGCUCAGUCACUGGGGUUGGGGGAGAGGGCUGUAUGCAGGAGGUUUCUCAUCUGGGAGCUGCUAUCACUGAAUACAUAAAGAAAUUGAGCCUAUAUGAUUUCAAUCUUCACCUUCUGAUGCUGAUGAAACAGGAUUCUAUGCAGCAGGGGGCCUGGAGGAAUGAAUCAGUGGCAGUGAGUGACAGAGUGGUCUCAGCAGGAAGAGGUGGAGGCAACGCUGGGAUUUGGAAAUGCCUCUGUGAGUGACUCAUGUUUGACUGCAGGUGACUUGCAGAAUGAUGCUGAAUGAUUCAGGAUUGCCACAUACACGGUUAGGAUGCCACUAAUC